AUGUACCCGCGCAAGGGAUAGCAGAGAAAAGCCCACAGCCCGACGUAGGAGGUGCGAGGACUUGUAGCGUAUAGCCCGACCCUUU
rnacentral:misc_RNA from 1 species